AAAAUAAAAUUAAAAUUACUAAAAUUUUAUUUGUUUUUCAUAAUUAAUUUAAAAAGUAUUGGCGGUGUUUGGUUAAAUUCUGAGGAACUUGUUUAUUUAAAGUGAUGUUACACAGUAAAUUUUACCUAUGAUUUAAUAUUAGUUUUAUGUAUUGCUGUUUAAUUUAUUAUUUAUUAUAUAAAAUAAGUGAAUAUGAUUAUUUAAAUAGAAAAGUCAAGUCAAAAUGUAGAUUUUUGUAGGGAUGAAUGAGUUACAUUUACAUUUUGAAAUGUGAAGCUAUAAAGUUAAAUGAAAUAUUUAAUGAUAAUUUGCUGGAUUAGGGUGUAAAAGAAAAAUAAUUAGUUUUUUUGAUAAUUUAUACUAGCAUGU
rnacentral:rRNA from 1 species